CUUGGUGGACGGCUGGUUGUGUCUGCUAUCCAUCACCCUGCUAUCCAUCACCCUGCUGUCCACCUGGGGACUCUGGGCCCUGACUCUCUGACUAGUCACUGCCUCCAACCAGUCAUGUGACUCCAAGGGGGUCUCCCUGCUCCACAAAUGGCUCCUGCCAGGUGCCCUUAACCCUUAGCCCAGUCCCUUCGGCUGCUGGGCACCACCCCAGAGGCCUCCUCCUCCCUCCAAGAAGCCAGAGCUGCCCUGGGGAUGAGCCGGCUGCUCCCUUGAGCAGAUCACACCUCCCACUGGACUUCUCAGCCUCCUCAGAGACCAGGCUCAGCCCUGCGCACAGGACAGCAUGCCAGCAGGUGCCGGGAACCAGUUAGACUUAUCAGCCCACCAGAGCUCCUCCUAGGCAUGGGGACAGACCAGAGUCUCUAGGAGUGGACAGCCCGGCCCCUGCUCCGCCGAGAGGAACCUUGGAGGCACCUAUGGGGUGACAAAGGCCAAGGGCCACUCAUCCCCAGCGGAAUCCAAGUCAUGCCACUGUCUCUCCACCCAGG